CAAGCCCUACCCCAUUCCCUCGCGCCGCCGCCGCCGCCUCUCGCCUUCUCCUCUCAUCUCUGCCGCUGCAUCUCGCGCCAACGCUCCUCCUCCCCUCUUGAUCCCCCUCGUCCUCAAGCUCCUCCGCCCCCACAUGCCGCUGCACUUGCGGGGUAAACCCUAGCCGUGCCCCCUGCGCAGGCUGCGCUGCGUGUUCCCCUUCCACUACGCCCCUCCGUGCGGUAGCAGCGGUGGUUUUUAUUUUCCUCUCCCUCCUCACUAGCAACGCAGCGGGUGCAUCGUCGACGGCGGCAGUGAAGCAGCCCCCGCACCACCACGUCAUCGAUGGUGGCAGAUCUCCUUCGCAGAGGCAGUUGAGAAAUCUCGCAAGUUGUUCGACGGGGCGCUGAAUCUCCUUUGGUCCUGAAGCACUCGUGGGUGGCUUUGCCAUGGCCGACAGAGAGGAGGUAGACCCCGGCGAGAAGCCCCUCAACGAGCUCGGCUACAACUACAACCAAGAUCUCUGGAGGGAUGACGUUGUCCAUCUCCUUUUUGACGAUGACGGUCUUCAUGAAGAUCACACUGCUAUAUGUGAGCAGCCUGCAGUACACCCAGCCGGCAUCCCUCGUGUGUGAAUGGGUUGUGGUCUCCUUCACUUGGUUUGUUGACGUCACCAUGACCGAGAACUCCUCCUCCUUCCAUCGACCGCCGCCUCUCCCGUCUCCAUGGGGCAAGGAGGAGGAGGAGGAGGCCGGGCGGAGAGGCAGCCACAAGCUUGGCCGGAGCUGGGGAGGCCGCGUGAGAGGAGCUCCCUCCUCUCUCUCUUCUCUCCCAAUCGAUUCCCCUGAAUCCGAUGGAAAAGGCAUUUAUUUUCCAAGCCGAUCAAGCUACAUAACACCUGGUGGAGCAAAUAACAACAAUUAUGCGAAUGUGCAGCUCAUUGUAGAGUUUGGCCUGGCUUGGGACAUGCUUCUGAGAACCCACAACUUCCAGAUGCGUCGAAUGAAAAGGGAAUUUUUUUUCUUGGGCCACCAUCAGUCGCGAUUGCUGCAUUAGGCGAUAAGACUGGUUCUUCUCUUAUUGAGAAAGCAACGGGAGUUCCAACUCUUCCAUCGAGGGGAUCACAUAUUCGCUGAAUAGAUGACCAAGGCAAUUGAGCCGAGGAGAGACCUACUGAAUUGGACUUGCGGGAGCAUGUCUCACAUGGCUUGACUACGUAAGGAUUUGGUUGAAUGGAAGGAUCACACAACAUGUAGCUCCACUGGUGGGAAUAGUGACGCGAAAUUUUACUACUCGAGAAUUAUGUUCUACAAAAUUUUGAGGACAAAAGGUUCUUCUCAGGGGCUGAGGCAUACAGCGUAGUGUGAAUUUUAUGGAGCUAUACUUGAAUAUGAACACUCAGUUUGCUUCCCAGGUUUCUCUGAGCUCCAGUAUUUCCAAAAAUUAUGUUCUUUUGUUCUUCUCUUGAGGUGGCAAUUAAGAUUGAAAUAGCUCAUAAGAACAUAAGGAUGCUCGAUGUGAACUGAUUUUUGUGUUUAUUAAAGAACAGUUUUCAUUGAAGUGCAAAGAAGGCAAUCGAAAGUGGACUGGAUAUUAUGCAUAGUUUCCUUCAUAGGCACACAGGAAUAUGUUGUUUCAAAGGGAAGCUUGGCUCUUCAGCUGUUACGGCGUGGGCCGUGAUUAAGAUCUGGCAGGCCAUCAACCCGAAGAGCGUCCUCAAGCCCCAUCACCCGCCAAGACAAUCAUCAAGGCCGUGGCCACCGCCCUCUGAUCAAAGAGGAGCCAGAGUAACUAGAGAUUCAAGUUACCUUCAUCACAACCACUUGCAAAGAGAAGCCUGCAUUCUCAAUUCCCGCUGGUGUGUGACAUUGUAUAUAUGUGUGCUGGCACGUGGGAGCAAAGAGCAACCUGAGUGCUAUGUAUUUUUCCUCUGCUGGUGUGAACGUUUGUGUGUUCUGAGUGGAUCGUUGUUUGGUCUGUCUAUGAGCUGAUGUGUUACUUGAUGAAUGGAGGGCUACUGCUUGUUUUUACUG